AGAGACAGCAGUCGCCGCGGUAAAACGAAGGGUGCAAGCGUUACUCGGAAUUACUGGGCGUAAAGCGUGCGUAGGUGGUGGUUUAAGUCUGCUGUGAAAGCCCUGGGCUCAACCUGGGAAUUGCAGUGGAUACUGGAUCACUAGAGUGUGGUAGAGGGAUGCGGAAUUUCUGGUGUAGCAGAGAAAUGCGUAGAGAUCAGAAGGAACAUCCGUGGCGAAGGCGGCAUCCUGGGCCAACACUGACACUGAGGCACGAAAGCGUGGGGAGCAAACAGGAUUAGAUACCCCGGUAGUCCCUGUCUCUUAUAC
rnacentral:rRNA from 1 species